rnacentral:rRNA from 1 species
CUCAGAUGGAACGCUAGCGGCAUGCCUAACACAUGCAAGUCGAACGGGACAGCGCGGAGAGAACUUGUUUGGCUCUAUCGAGUUGAGUGGCGAACGGGUGAUUAAUGCGUAGGAAUCUACCUUUUAGAGGGGGAUAACCCGAGGAAACUCGGGCUAGUACCGCGGUAGUAUCUCUUUUCAUAAGAAAAGUUGAAGAAAGUUGGGGAUCCUUGAGUCCUUUUAAGGACCUCGCGCUAAAAGAUGAGCCUGCGUCGGAUUAAUCAGUUGGUGGGGUAAUAGCCCACCAAGGAGGAUGAUCCGUAGCUGGUCUGAGAGGAUGAUCAGCCACACUGGGACUGAGACACGGCCCACACUCCUAUGGGAGGCAGCAGUGGGGAAUAUGGGACAAUGGGGGAAACCCUGAUCCACCAAUGCCGCGUGUGUGAAGAAGGCCUUCGGGUUGUAAAGCACUUUCAGCAGGAAAGAAAGUCUUAAAGUUAAUACCUUUAAUGAGUAGACGUUACCUGCAGAAGAAGCACUGGCUAACUCUGUGCCAGCAGCCGCGGUAAUACAGAGAGUGCAAGCGUUAAUCGGAAUUACUGGGCGUAAAGCGCGCGUAGGUGGAUAUUAAAGUCGGGUGUGAAAGCCCCGAGCUUAACUCGGGAAUUGCGUUCGAUACUGAGUAUCUAGAGUAUAGUAGAGGGAAGUGGAAUUUCCGGUGUACCGCUGAAAUGCGUAGAUAUCGGAAGGAACACCAGUGGCGAAGGCGGCUUCCUGGACUAAUACUGACACUGAGGUGCGAAAGCGUAGG